UGCGUGUGUGCGUGCGUGUGUGCGUGCGUGUGUGCGUGCGUGCGUGUGUGCGUGCGUGCGUGUGUGUGUGUGUGUGUGCCUUUUAAAUUCGGCCUCACAAAAAUUCAGGUGAGUUGGGCUGGCCUGAGAGAAACCAUCAGCUUGGCCAAGUAAGGGAACCACUGAGUAAAACCAGAAAAUGAGGCAGAGGAGACAAUUCUGUGAAGAAUCAAGUAGUGCUUUUGGGUUUGAGAGGCCAGUGCUUAUCCGCACAGAGAUAUCCAGUGAGCAGCCAGGAGCCUGGAGGAAGAGAUGUCAGACCACGACAACAAGGUGACCCUGAGGGCUCAGCCCGCUCCUCCAUUGCCUCCUUGUCACCUCCUCACCAAUCGACAGGCGUGCUGAUCUUACCUUCUAAAUAUUUCUUGACUCUUUUCCUGCCUGCCUGCCUGCCGUGCACAACUCCAGGCCCUCGGCACCUCCUCCUUAGAUCACUGCCUUCCAUCAGCUCUCCCCUGACUCUCUCUGCCCCUUUAAAUCCCCCCAUCACACUGUCACCAGGGUCUUAUCCGAAAUGAAAUUCCUAGGAUCUCCCUUUCCUGUUUAAAGCCUGUCGCAUGCCUGUCUCCCUCUCAUUCUUCACCCCUGGGCACAAGUGUCCCCUCCUCCAGAAUGUGGUCCCUGAUGCCCCCGGAUCAGCCGGGGGACCCCGUGCGCUUAGACCUCACGUGCAUCCUGCCUGACCACACGGAGGCUUCGUUACCUAGGGGUAAGUGUUCCUCCCCCAGAGCCCGGGAGCCCCUCGGGCUGCAGCCAGACCUGGCAUCGCUACCCUCAGCACCUCUCCCAGUGCCUGGGGCACACGGGUGUUGCACUCAUCUUGGGAGAGAAGAAGGGAGGGGGAGAAAAAGCAAAGAGGGCCGGAUACUAAUCUUGAAAACUGUCUGCGUGUGGUGGAGGGUUAGUCACAGUUCCCGCGUCCUACCUGAGGGAGCUCAGCUUGCUGCAGAGGCAGGAGAACUUGGGGCUAACUCCUGGCCUGGCCUCCUCCUAGCUCUUUGGCCUUUGUCAGGCUGCCUAACCUCUGUGGGCCUCAGUUUUCUCUUCUAAAUAAAGGGGUAGGACCAGAUGGAACUCCACAGUCCCUUCAGCUCUGAAUCAAAGGGCACCAAGUGUCACCAGCCACAGGAGCCUUGGCCCCAUCUCAGCACCCAGCAACUUACCACCCAGAACCUCCUGCAUCUGCCCUGCACCCUCCUGCCUGGUCUCCUGACCUCCCUCUCCCCAAGCUGCAGGGAGCCCAUGGCAGCGUCAUUAGAAAGCAGUGACAGUCACAGCCUUGCCCAUGGACCCCACCAACAGCUUUCACGGGGCAUUAAAGUCAUGUGGCUUCUCUUCAGAGUUGAACCAGCUGUUGUCACGGGCUGGGCUUCCCUUCUCAUAAACUGCUGAAGCCCAGAUGGCCAUGUCUUUGGAUCUUCUUUAUUGUCUUCCUUUAAACCUCAUUAAAUUCCUCUUUCUACCUGCUGCUGGAGAGGAGUCUGCCAGGGCUUGGGGAAGCACAGCCCUCCUCCCACAGGUAGCCCCUCCUCCCCACCUAACUGGGCAACAGCCUCUGUGAAUAAGGAAUCGCUGGCGGGCUCAGGCUGGGCAUCGUGUGCCACUGUGGUGUCCUUGGGCCCUGCGCCGCUGUGGAGAGAUGGGGUGAAGGACACAGCCUCUCCCCCCAACAUUCCUCACAGUCUAGUCGGAAACACAGAAUCUAAGCUCCACAAGGGCAAGGACCUUGUCUUACUCACCACUGGAUUUCCUGCACCUAACACUGCAACUGCCACAUAGCAGACCUUCAAGAAAUAUCUGCUGGUUGAAUGAACGAGCAUCAUGUUCCUUGCCAUAUCCCCAGCUCCCAGCACAGCACUUAGUUCGUCAAGGAAGCAUGCUUCUUUGGAUCCAUCCACAUAAAAAUCCCGGGAAAAGCCUUUGAUGAGUUCUGCUUGGAUCACAUGCCCACUCCAGACCAAUCCCUGUGACUAGUGACCAACCCGGGUCAAGUGUCCUCCCAUGAUGAACAGCACCUUGACUGACAGAUCCAGGAAAAGAAGAGAAGUGUUCUCCCAAAGGAAGAGAUGCUGAGGAAAAUCAAACUACACGUCACCCCACGGCAGCCUUGCAGGUGUCCCAGGCAGCCAGGUGCCAUGUGUGGGUGGACACGCUGACAUCAUAUCCUCAUUCAGCGUAGGAGAAGGAAAGCUGUGGAACUCAGACCCCGGUGCCCUGGGGCUGGGAUGGAUCCCAGAGAGCAUCCACACCUUCUGCCAGUUGGGUACCCGGUCACCACCCUCCUCGGUUGGGGCAGGUGCAGGGGCUGAUGUGGCCUUUCUCCUGCCAGGAAGACGAGCAGGGACUUGAGCACAGAUCACCCCCUCCAUCAAUCUCCUCCAGAUCAAUACUCUCAACAUCACUUCAAUUUAGUACUUGUGCCAGGAAAGGAAAGAAAUUAAAAACAAACAAAGAUUUGUUCUUCUAUGCAGUGACCCUCCAGUUGAGUGAGUUUGGGGCUUUUCAUUCAAUGCCAAAUGCUGGUGGUCAAAUUAAAAACAGAGUACAAGACAAAGAAGACACUGAUGGAGAAGAAAUUCAUUGCAGAGAACCAAAUUCCACUACAGCAAAUUCAAUACAGACAGUCCUAAGACACAGUUCUUCAGUGGGAAAAAAUUGUCCUGCUACAUUCAGAACAGCUCUCUUCCCGGGUAGAAGGAAUGUUGCUUUUUUACACUUCGUGCUGGUACCUGGUGAGAGUCAUCCUGGCCCAGACAACACUUUCCUGUCUUCUGCACAUAAUAAAUAGUAUAAAUUUAUGCCAUGAAAA